rnacentral:rRNA from 1 species
GUAUGUUAAACGAGAAGACUUUAGAUAUGAUCCAGAGUACCACGGGACACGUGAAACCCUGUGGGAAGCAGGAGGGACCACCCUCCAAGGCUAAAUACUACCUAGUGACCGAUAGCGUAUAGUACCGUGAGGGAAAGGUGAAAAGAACCCCGGGAGGGGAGUGAAAUAGAACCUGAAACCCUGCACUUACAAGCUGUGGAAGCACAUUUCUUGUGUGACCGCGUACUUUUUGUAGAACGGGCCAACGAGU